rnacentral:lncRNA from 1 species
UGACCGACGGCGUGGUUUCGGCCUUUGGGGGGGACCGAGUGUAUAAAUAGUCUUGCAUCCUCUCUUCACAGCCCUGAUAAAGUAUCUGUUGGAGCAGAGAAUGACGUCGCAAAAUGAGGUGUUCACUAAAUGUUACUGCUUACACCUUCAGCUACUCAAUUGUGGAGGGAUUGAUGGAUAAAGUGUCUUGAAAUGGUAUGGAUGGGCAACUUUUACUGCUAGUUUGUGAAUAUGACAGGCUGCCUUUUGGGUGUUGAGAAAGAAAAACAAGCUGGAGGUAGUCUUGGCAAUCAUUUCUCAGUGCCUGAGGAAGGCUGGAUCGUCUGCUCUUGAAGGUGUUCUUUUCCUGAGCUCAUGCACAUGGUGUCUUCUUUCCCUACCGACUGCUUGCUUCAAGUGCGUUCGUUGGUUCAACGCCUCUGGUUCCGUCGUGUCGGUUUUAUUCACUUGCGGCGCUAGGGUUAACAAGGAAAUUAUGCUUUCGGUCAACAGCAGGAUCGUUGCGUGCGCACUGUUUCGCUAGUUGGAAGAAUUAAGUGCUACAGAAUAUGGAAUUUCUGCAGAGCUGGGUGGAAAAAUUGCCGCAACAGUUUUGAGAAAUAACUACAAUUGUUCAUUUGGUUAUUAAGUAUGUGUCUAAAUAUUCUCUUAUCUCACAGGUCGUUGAGAUGAUCUUCACGUAUCGAAUCGUAAUGUGUGGCGUCACCGCUUGUUUAUUUUUCCAAUCGAAUAAAAGCAGGGAUUCUGAUGCAAAUAAAUUGUUAUUGUCAAUUAAA